UACGAAGGGGGCUAGCGUUGCUCGGAAUCACUGGGCGUAAAGCGCACGUAGGCGGACUCUUAAGUCGGUGGUGAAAUCCUGGAGCUCAACUCCAGAACUGCCUUCGAUACUGAGAGUCUCGAGUCCGAGAGAGGUGAGUGGAACUGCGAGUGUAGAGGUGGAAUUCGUAGAUAUUCGCAAGAACACCAGUGGCGAAGGCGGCUCACUGGCUCGGUACUGACGCUGAGGUGCGAAAGCGUGGGGAGCAAACAGG
rnacentral:rRNA from 1 species